rnacentral:sRNA from 1 species
AUCCCCUUCAUCGUCAAGCUAUUACUUUUGAUUGAGAAGCACACAACGGAGGGAGGUC